GCCUUGUAAGUCACAUAAUAGAACACUGGCUUUCAUCCUUAGCCCUUACAAAUGGCAACAGAGCUAUUUUUAGCCUCUGUGGACAGCUCCAUAGGGAGAAUGAACUAUUCGUCAACGUCACCCAUAUUUUACUGAAGAUUUUGAAGGUAUUCCAAUGUGACUGACUACUACGUUUCCUCACAUGUGUGCUGCUGUAUCUGAGAUCACCAUGUUUUCAAUUAUCUCAUAUGAACCUGUGAGGAAAUUUAAAUCAAAGAAGGUGCAUACUUGGCUUCAUACACUGAAGGCACAGCAAGCCUGAGACUGGGACAUAGGGACAUUGACUUCCUUUUCAAUGUGAUGCUCCAUACACAGCCCUACCUGCUAUAAAUGACGAUGCUCUAUUUUU
rnacentral:lncRNA from 1 species